GCCUUGGUGGCUUAGUUGGUUAAGCAUCUGCCUUUAGCUCAGGUCAUGAUCCCAGGGUCUUGGGAUCAAGCCCCACUUUGGGCU
rnacentral:tRNA from 1 species